GUAGUGAGAAAACUACAAAUAGUUUUAUGGGCUAUGGUCAUCACUUAUCAUGAGAUCUGGAGUGUCCAGCACGAUGUAAAUCAGCAGUUCAUCAGAGGCCUUGAGCCAAGAGCAUUGGAAAUGGAGCUGCUUGCAUUGUCUGACUGGAGGGCAGCACAACCUACAGGGCUGGACUGGCAGAAGACUGAAAUGCUUACCAGGCUGUGAGGUACCUACCCAGCGAGCUGGAUGUGGGAUAAGAAAUACCCUGAGCCAUUUCACACCAGCAGCACUACUGGUGAAGCCUGGUGGCCAGCAUCACUUCCCUGAGCUCCUCUGUAGUGGGUUCCUCUUCUCUUCCAAGCUUCAAAAAGACUGGCACAUCUGAAACAAUCAUGGUGCUUACCUCAAGCAGCCAGAGGAAGUGAGCUGGGUUUUCUUGUCCUUGUCUUUACCCCAGGCCAUUUCACACCUCCUCAAACACGUCUGCCCAGAGCUGCUGAGGGUGAGAAAGAGGCCACCGCUCACACAGGGCAGACUGCAGGAGCACUCACUGGCCCAGGUUUGGGUAAAGUCCAUGAGCCUCCUUCCCAGAUGGAUUGAAGAGCAUGAAUUUUGGCCCAGCAUCACUUCAAACCUUUCCUGAAAUUACCUGUUCUGUGGAGUGUUCUGAACUCAACUUCAUGACCAACACUGUUUCCUCUUUUCCAUUUAUUGUUUUACUUAGGUCUGACCAAUGUUGUUUAUGUUUAUAUUUUCACAGGGUUUAGUGCACAAAACAUAGUGCCCCUAAUGCAUUGUAAGUCUGUAAGCUGUGUUUUCCCUUCUACCUCUAUGUUGAAGGUAUAUAAACAAGCACACACUUGCACGUGCAUAUACAAGGGCAAAAUAAUAAUCAACAUUAAUUAUGGCUGUAGUGAAGCAAACUUCUCAAAGCUGGCCACUGUAUUUUUUUUUCCCUAAUAAAAUAUUAAAAAGCUUAA